GACGUAGGAGGCUAGCGUUGUCCGGAUUUAUUGGGCGUAAAGAGCUCGUAGGCGGUUAUCCACGUCGGAUGUGAAAGCUCAGGGCUCAACCCUGAGAUGCCAUUCGAUACGGGAUAGCUAGAGGUAGGUAGGGGAAAGUGGAAUUCCUGGUGUAGCGGUGAAAUGCGCAGAUAUCAGGAGGAACACCGGUGGCGAAGGCGGCUUUCUGGGCCUUACCUGACGCUGAGGAGCGAAAGCUGGGGGAGCGAACAGG
rnacentral:rRNA from 1 species